CGUAGGGGGCAAGCGUUGUCCGGAUUUAUUGGGCGUAAAGACGCGUGUAGGCGGCCAUACAGGUCCGUUGUGAAAACUCGAGGCUUAACCUCGAGACGUCGAUGGAAACCGUAUGGCUAGAGUCCGGAAGAGGAGAGUGGAAUUCCAGGUGUAGCGGUGAAAUGCGCAGAUAUCAGGAAGAACACCCGUGGCGAAGGCGGCUCUCUGGGACGGUACUGACGCUGAGACGCGAAAGCGUGGGGAGCGAACAGGAUUAGAUACCCUGGUAGUCCACGCCGUAAACGAUGGGUGCUAGGUGUGGGCGGUGUCGACUCCGUCCGUGCCGAAGCUAACGCAUUAAGCACCCCGCCUGGGGAGUACGGCCGCAAGGCUA
rnacentral:rRNA from 1 species